AGAGUUUGAUCCUGGCUCAGGAUGCAUGCUAGCGGCAGGCUUAACACAUGCAAGUCGAGGGGCAGCGGGGGGCGCGCUUGCGCGUCCCGCCGGCGACCGGCGCACGGGUGAGUAACACGUAUGCAACCUGCCCCCGCCAGGGGUACAACCCUCCGAAAGGGGGGCUGAUACCGCGUACAUCCCUUGGGGGCAUCCCCGGGGGAGGAAAGCCCUUCGGGGCGGGCGGGGAUGGGCAUGCGGCGCAUUAGGAAGACGGCGGUGUGACGGACCACCGUUCCGACGAUGCGUAGGGGUUCUGAGAGGAAGGCCCCCCACACUGGUACUGAGACACGGACCAGACUCCUACGGGAGGCAGCAGUGAGGAAUAUUGGUCAAUGGCCGGAAGGCUGAACCAGCCAAGCCGCGUGAGGGAGGAAGGCGCAGAGCGUCGCAGACCUCUUUUGCCGGGGGACAAAAGGCCGGACGGGUCCGGUUCUGAGGGUACCCGGAGAAAAAGCAUCGGCUAACUCCGUGCCAGCAGCCGCGGUAAUACGGAGGAUGCGAGCGUUAUCCGGAUUCAUUGGGUUUAAAGGGUGCGCAGGCGGGCCUUUAAGCCGGCGGUGAAAUCGCGGGGCUCAACCCCGCCGAGCCGUCGGAACUGGAGGCCUUGAGUGCGGCGGAGGCAUGCGGAAUGCGCGGUGUAGCGGUGAAAUGCAUAGAUAUCGCGCAGAACCCCGAUUGCGAAGGCAGCGUGCCGUGCCGCCACUGACGCUGAGGCACGAAAGCGCGGGGAUCGAACAGGAUUAGAUACCCUGGUAGUCCGCGCCGUAAACGAUGGAUGCUGGGUGUCCGGGGCGUUCAGGCCCUGGGUGCCGGAGCGAAAGCGGUAAGCAUCCCACCUGGGGAGUACGCCGGCAACGGUGAAACUCAAAGGAAUUGACGGGGGCCCGCACAAGCGGAGGAACAUGUGGUUUAAUUCGAUGAUACGCGAGGAACCUUACCCGGGCUCAAACGGGGGGCGCGGGCGGCAGAGACGCCGCCGUCCUUAUGGACGUCCCCCGAGGUGCUGCAUGGUUGUCGUCAGCUCGUGCCGUGAGGUGUCGGAUUAAGUUCCAUAACGAGCGCAACCCCCGCGCGCAGUUGCUAACGGGUCAGGCCGAGGACUCUGCGCGGACUGCCGGCGCAAGCCGCGAGGAAGGCGGGGACGACGUCAAAUCAGCGCGGCCCUUACGUCCGGGGCGACACACGUGUUACAAUGGGGGGUACAGCGGGAGGCCAGGCGGCGACGCCGAGCGGAACCCGAAAGCCCCUCCCAGUUCGGAUCGGAGCCUGCAACCCGGCUCCGUGAAGCUGGAUUCGCUAGUAAUCGCGCAUCAGCCAUGGCGCGGUGAAUACGUUCCCGGGCCUUGCACUCAAGGCCCGUCA
rnacentral:rRNA from 1 species